rnacentral:lncRNA from 1 species
CUAUGAUUUAAUCUGAUCUGGCUAGACAGCUAUUAAUGUAGCACCUGUGUCCAGAUCUCUCGAUAACUCCCAAGUUGUUUAUGUAUUGUGUCAACAACAUGACUAUUCCCGUUAACAUCGUAAUGUGGAAAGCAUCAAUGUGCCAGAAGCCUAGAAGAGGCCAGCUUGCAAGUUCAUAUACAGGAAAAAGAGACAUAUAAUAACAACACCACACCCCACCAAAAAAAAAAAAAAGAGAGAGAGAGUUUAAAAUUGAUAAUCUUUCUCACAUUCCAGUGACUUCACACAUUUGAAUACCAAAUAAGUUUCAACUUUCCAUGUUUUUAUCAAGUUACAUAAUUUGAUUUAUUUAAACAGAUAUAAGGUAAGUUAGGCACACAGAUAAGAAUAGCCACCGUGUCCUGAAUCAUCUCAAAUUGAUCAAGAGCAAGUAAAAGAACAGAUAACUCAGAGAAUUCUAAAAUGUAGAAAUUUCAAAAAAUAAUGAGUCAAUGACUUUCAUAUCCCAAGGUUUUGACAUAUAAGUCCAUACCUUGGGUUGACUUUGUCCAGUCCCAGAACCAAUGGAACCAACAUAAGGACAGGAGUCCAAUCGACUUCACCUCUAGAAAACUCGAAGCAAUGCCUAGAAAUAUCUUGAAAGCAAAGAACAGGAGCUCCGCCGUGUUCCCCAUCUUCAUCACCAGAAACCACAUAUAUAGUCAUCAUUGAGGGCAGCCCUCCAUUUUUAUUCUCCUCCCUCUUACUACGCACCAAAGUUUCCCAGGUGCGACACAUGGCAUAUGGACCUACCCAUGAUCCUGGAGCAAGGCCAUAUGCCUUUCCAGCUUGGAGAAGAUUGUGUAUGGAGAAAGGUGAGUCCUCAGAAUCUCC